GCCGGUGACCACAGUGGUGGGGCCACACCCGAUCCCAUUCCGAACUCGGAAGUUAAGCCCACUACGUCGAUGAUAGUGCCACUGCGCGAAAGUAGAUCAUUGCCGGCU
rnacentral:rRNA from 1 species